GCACUCAACUGCUGCCAGUUUUCUUUCAAUGCCAUGAGAUUUCUGAAUUCUACAUGCAGGAACCGAUGCAUUCUUUUUUUAUUUUUAUUUCUUUAAACAAAACAGAUAUGGCAGACACGGCCAAACAUCGAAACUUUGGAGGACGUUGAGGAAAAAAAGCACCAUAUCAUCAAGGGGAAUAAAAGCAAAAAAAUGCCAAAAACAGACACCCAAAACCCUACGCAUGCUGCGCGACACAGGGGCGUGAACCUGCAGGACCCAGACGCACAGUCCACUCGAAGCUGCUGUGGGAACUAAAGGCCUGUCAACACUCCAUCAUGGGAGACCACGACACCUUCUCCUCCCUAAAAUCCCACCCUUCACCCUUUCACCUCCCAAGACGGAUAAGGAAAGAGAAAGAAAGAGAAAGGAAUACCAGGAAGAGCUCGAGGAAAACGCCUCACUCGUGCCACAAAGAGAUUUUUCAAGGAAGACUUCUGGUGGACGGGGCUGAAAGCGAACGGACGAUGGACUCUGUCAUGUCUGGCAGUAAAUAUGGAUUCUGUAUUACUUUCAAGUGAACAAGAAUUACCACCUCAGUUCAUCCUCAUUAUGCAAGCACCAUGUAGAGAUAAAGGAUUGGAAAAGAGAUAAAGGAACACAGAAUGGACUGAAGAGUUAUUAUUAACCAACAAACCUUCCCAUUCUCAGCCCCUGGAAGGGUCCGUAAUGCCCCUUUUAACAUUCAGAAGUCUUCAAGCGAAAUCUACACUGAGUAUCCAUAUGGUCUGGGCUCUCCCAUUUAAUCUCAACUCUAACACUGGAAGAAAGUCAGCACCUUAAACUUAAACUAACCCUUCAGUUAUUCAUCUAUGAGCCACAUCUACUAAAUUUAUAACACAAAGGAACACGGAAGCAGAACUUCAUAUGUUUUAUUUCAGCUUUAUUUAUUACCUUUGUUUGAACUGGUCUCCCUUUGCGCAGCUCGUCAUUCAUCUAUGACCCAAAAAGUAUUGAAGAAAGUCAAUGUUGUCUUCCCUAUCCCAUUUACUUCUCCCCACAGCAUUGACCUCAAAGUUCAGUGUUGAUGUUCACAAAACAACAGCGAGCUCUACGAUGCCUUCUUAAUCUUCUUUUAGCUUUGUGUAAACUACUGUUUGAGAGUCAACAAAUUAUUACAUAUAUUUGCACCAAUCAGACUGAUCCAAAAUCAUUUUGCUUCAUGAUUAAUUGCAAAAUAUCAUUACACAUUUAGUUGUCUGGAUGCGGAAGUCAAACAACACCAGUCUCAAUAUGUGUUAUUAAAAAGCAACAAAAAAUAUUCAAGCACCCACUAAUCAACAAAGUGAAUGAUUGAGCACUGGGAUGGCAAAUAUUGUGGAGAUGCAGAUUUUUGCCCACAAAGCCCCUGAAAAAGUGGAAAAAAACAGAAGUGCCUACUCCGUUUUUUCCGUGUUCUUUGUUUUGGGCUUGAUUGAGGUCGGCUGACCAUCUUAAAAGUAGCGGUUUUGAGACGAUCCCGGGGUAUACGGGCAAUAAGCUGUGAGAAUAACUUGCGGAGCGUGCUAGUAAACAGAGGAGUCGUUUCAGUUUUGUUUUAUGAAUGCUGUUUGUUGAUGUGUAUUAAAAAGAAUUUUAUUUCAGAUUGAUUUUAGUCAGUAAUUUAAUGGGUUACCAAUACAUUUAUAUGGUCAUUUAGGGAAUGAAUUAGGUAUCAUGAUAAGGUGUCACACAGCUAGAAGUCAUUUGUCAUGUGUCUUCAGGUCCACCUUUUUUGUGGAAUAAGAUCUGAUCUCGUUAACACCUCUGUCAAUUUUAAAUAAAGCUGUGCUGUUCUGCUAUGAAUGAAACGUG